rnacentral:rRNA from 1 species
GACGGGUGAGUAACAUGUAGGUAUCUGCCCUUUGGCCUGGAAUAACACGAGGAAACUUGUGCUAAUACCGGAUAAGUCUUUACGGAGAAAGCUUUAUGCACCAUUGGAUGAGCCUGCACUUGAUUAGUUUGUUGGUAGGGUAAUGGCCUACCAAGACUGUGAUCAAUAGCUGAUUUGAGAGGAUGAUCAGCCACAUUGGGACUGAGACACGGCCCAAACUCCUACGGGAGGCAGCAGUGGGGAAUCUUGCACAAUGGAGGAAACUCUGAUGCAGCGAUGCCGCGUGAGUGAAGAAGGCCUUUGGGUUGUAAAGCUCUUUCGUCGGGGAAGAAAAUGACUGUACCCGAAUAAGAAGGUCCGGCUAACUUCGUGCCAGCAGCCGCGGUAAUACGAAGGGACCUAGCGUAGUUCGGAAUUACUGGGCUUAAAGAGUUCGUAGGUGGUUGAAAAAGUUGGUGGUGAAAUCCCAGAGCUUAACUCUGGAACUGCCAU